CACGUAGGGGGCAAGCGUUGUCCGGAUUUACUGGGCGUAAAGAGCGUGUAGGCGGCCACGCAGGUCCGUUGUGAAAACUGGAGGCUCAACCUUCAGACGUCGACGGAAACCGUGUGGCUAGAGUCCGGAAGAGGAGAGUGGAAUUCCUGGUGUAGCGGUGAAAUGCGCAGAUAUCAGGAAGAACACCAAUGGCGAAGGCAGCUCUCUGGGACGGUACUGACGCUGAGACGCGAAAGCGUGGGGAGCGAACAGG
rnacentral:rRNA from 1 species